rnacentral:rRNA from 1 species
CCCUUAGACGUUCUGGGCCGCACGCGCGCUACACUGACCAGUGCAACAAGCAUCCGUCCUUGGCCGACAGGCCCGGGCAAUCUUUGAACGCUGGUCGUGAUGGGGAUAGACUUUUGCAAUUUUUGGUCUUCAACGAGGAAUUCCUAGUAAACGCAAGUCAUCAACUUGCAUUGAUUACGUCCCUGCCCUUUGUACACACCGCCCGUCGCACCUACCGAUUGAGUGAUCCGGUGAAUAAUUCGGACUGCAGCAGUGUUCAGUUCCUGAACGUUGCAGCGGAAAGUUUAGUGAACCUUAUCACUUAGAGGAAGGAGAANUCGUANCA